UCCAGGCAAAUCCGGAUAAUCAAGGCUGAGGUGUGAUGACGAGGCACUACGGUGCUGAAGUAACAAAUGCCCUGCUUCCAGGAAAAGCCUCUAAGCAUCAGGUAACAUUAAAUCGUACCCCAAACCGACACAGGUGGUCAGGUAGAGAAUACCAAGGCGCUUGAGAGAACUCGGGUGAAGGAACUAGGCAAAAUGGUGCCGUAACUUCGGGAGAAGGCACGCUGGUGUGUAGGUGAAGCCCCUGCGGGUGGAGCUGAGACCAGUCGAAGAUACCAGCUGGCUGCAACUGUUUAUUAAAAACACAGCACUGUGCAAACACGAAAGUGGACGUAUACGGUGUGACGCCUGCCCGGUGCCGGAAGGUUAAUUGAUGGGGUUAUCCGUAAGGAGAAGCUCUUGAUCGAAGCCCCGGUAAACGGCGGCCGUAACUAUAACGGUCCUAAGGUAGCGAAAUUCCUUGUCGGGUAAGUUCCGACCUGCACGAAUGGCGUAAUGAUGGCCAGGCUGUCUCCACCCGAGACUCAGUGAAAUUGAACUCGCUGUGAAGAUGCAGUGUACCCGCGGCAAGACGGAAAGACCCCGUGAACCUUUACUAUAGCUUGACACUGAACAUUGAGCCUUGAUGUGUAGGAUAGGUGGGAGGCUUUGAAGCGUGGACGCCAGUCUGCGUGGAGCCAACCUUGAAAUACCACCCUUUAAUGUUUGAUGUUCUAACGUUGGCCCCUUACCGGGGUUGCGGACAGUGUCUGGUGGGUAGUUUGACUGGGGCGGUCUCCUCCCAAAGCGUAACGGAGGAGCACGAAGGUUAGCUAAUCCUGGUCGGACAUCAGGAGGUUAGUGCAAUGGCAUAAGCUAGCUUGACUGCGAGCGUGACGGCGCGAGCAGGUGCGAAAGCAGGUCAUAGUGAUCCGGUGGUUCUGAAUGGAAGGGCCAUCGCUCAACGGAUAAAAGGUACUCCGGGGAUAACAGGCUGAUACCGCCCAAGAGUUCAUAUCGACGGCGGUGUUUGGCACCUCGAUGUCGGCUCAUCACAUCCUGGGGCUGAAGUAGGUCCCAAGGGUAUGGCUGUUCGCCAUUUAAAGUGGUACGCGAGCUGGGUUUAGAACGUCGUGAGACAGUUCGGUCCCUAUCUGCCGUGGGCGCUGGAGAAUUGAGGGGGGCUGCUCCUAGUACGAGAGGACCGGAGUGGACGCAUCACUGGUGUUCGGGUUGUCAUGCCAAUGGCACUGCCCGGUAGCUAAAUGCGGAAGAGAUAAGUGCUGAAAGCAUCUAAGCACGAAACUUGCCCCGAGAUGAGUUCUCCCUGAGACUUUAAGUCUCCUGAAGGAACGUUAAAGACGAUGACGUUGAUAGGCCGGGUGUGUAAGCGCAGCGAUGCGUUGAGCUAACCGGUACUAAUGAACCGUGAGGCUUAACC
rnacentral:rRNA from 1 species